rnacentral:rRNA from 1 species
AAAGGGUGCGCAGGCGGAUAUGUAAGUCAGUGGUGAAAUCUUUAGGCUUAACCUGAAAAUUGCCGUUGAUACUAUAUAUCUUGAAUGUUGUGGAGGUAAGCGGAAUAUGUCAUGUAGCGGUGAAAUGCUUAGAGAUGACAUAGAACACCUAUUGCGAAGGCAGCUUACUACGCAGAUAUUGACGCUCAUGCACGAAAGCGUGGGGAUCAAACAGGAUUAGAUACCCGUGU